CAGGUGAUGCUAACAUCCUCUAAUUAAAAACAUUUAGCGUCGAGGAAACCUCAUGUUAACGUUGUCAUACUACUGCUAAACUGUACGGCUGAAACUGUGACGCCCUGGCCUCACAUCAGCUAACAACAGGAAGUUAACAAAGUCGCUAAAAUGAAAUAACACCGACAGUUAACUUAGCUAGCAGCGGUGCUAAUGCUAACAGCUCCGCUGACGUUAAUUAGCAGCGAAACCUUGACGAGCAACAGGUGAAGUCGACAUGAAGGACGAUAAAUGGACUUCAGAUAACACAGAGGAGGUGUGCAGCAAGCAAUUUAUGGCAUUUCUGCAACAUUUUAGGAAACUGCUCCUAGUCUGGCUGCUGUAACUGCCCAACAGAACAGGCUAUUAACAGUGUGUCACCUGGCUGGGUUUCUGUACUGUAUGUUUGUGAUGUAUGCGCUAUUAGACUAAAAUAUUCAUAAUAAUUGCACGAGCUGAACAUAACAAUAUGAGCGCAUAAUAACUAGCAUUUGGAUGAGAAUAAACAUUAUACUCAGAGUAAAUUCCUCCAUGUGCUUUUCUGCUUUGCACUUCCACCCCCGCUCAAAUGAAAGGGCCACCUGUGUCGUCCCACUGUGCUCCUAUCAGCGCCUGCUUUUCCUGCUGUCGUUUCCUGCCAGAGGUGGACUGGAAAAUCCUGCAGAAAAACAGGGAGUCCUAUGGGCAGAUAACGAGGCGGUCAUUAGAGCACGGCUUUGUAUUAGGAGCGCUCUACGCUUUGAUUUCAAGUGAAACCAGCUGCAGCUGUUUUCUCUGAAGUUCACAUCUGAGAGGAUCUGUGUGCUAAAAAUUUACGAAGGACGCGAUUAGAUAGAGU